GGGACGACGCUAGUCAGCAUGGCCCUUACGGCCUGGGCGACACACGUGCUACAAUGCCCACUACAAAGCGAUGCCACCCGGCAACGGGAGCUAAUCGCAAAAAGGUGGGCCCAGUUCGGAUUGGGGUCUGCAACCCGACCCCAUGAAGCCGGAAUCGCUAGUAAUCGCGGAUCAGCCAUGCCGCGGUGAAUACGUUCCCGGGCCUU
rnacentral:rRNA from 1 species